rnacentral:rRNA from 1 species
UGGGGAAUAUUGGACAAUGGGGGGAACCCUGAUCCAGCCAUGCCGCGUGUGUGAAGAAGGCCUUUUGGUUGUAAAGCACUUUAAGUGGGGAGGAGGCUCUCUUGGUUAAUACCUAAGAAGAGUGGACGUUACCCACAGAAUAAGCACCGGCUAACUCUGUGCCAGCAGCCGCGGUAAUACAGAGGGUGCGAGCGUUAAUCGGAUUUACUGGGCGUAAAGCGCGCGUAGGUGGUUAAUUAAGUCAAAUGUGAAAUCCCCGAGCUUAACUUGGGAAUUGCAUUCGAUACUGGUUAGCUAGAGUAUGGGAGAGGAUGGUAGAAUUCCAGGUGUAGCGGUGAAAUGCGUAGAGAUCUGGAGGAAUACCGAUGGCGAAGGCAGCCAUCUGGCCUAAUACUGACAC